rnacentral:rRNA from 1 species
AACGAACGCUGGCGGCGUGCCUAACACAUGCAAGUCGAACGGAUUUGAGGGGCUUGCUCCUCAAGUUAGUGGCGCACGGGUGAGUAACGCGUAGAUAAUCUGCCUGAUGAUCUGGGAUAACACUUCGAAAGGGGUGCUAAUACCGGAUAAGCCCACGUGGUCUUUGGAUCGUGCGGGAAAAGGGGGGGACCUUCGGGCCUUCUGUCAUCAGAUGAGUCUGCGUACCAUUAGCUAGUUGGUAGGGUAAAAGCCUACCAAGGCUACGAUGGUUAGCUGGUUUGAGAGAAUGAUCAGCCACACUGGAACUGAGACACGGUCCAGACUCCUACGGGAGGCAGCAGUGGGGAAUUUUGCGCAAUGGGCGAAAGCCUGACGCAGCAACGCCGCGUGAGUGAUGAAGGCUUUCGGGUCGUAAAGCUCUGUCGAGGGGAAAGAAGUGUACGGAGGCCAAUACCCUCUGUACUUGACGGUACCCCUAAAGGAAGCACCGGCUAACUCCGUG